AAGUUACACAAUCUUAAAUUGAAAAAUACCUCAAAACACCUGUGGAGAUCUGUUGCCGAUGACUAGCCACCAGUGUAGGAAGUACCGUAAUCUCAGUUUGGAAAUUCGACAUGGUUGACUUAAAAAAAUUCUAACUUCUCUUGUAGGCAUCUUUGAAAUGAUGCCUAUCGUUAUUUUUAUAAGCAAUGCUCAGAAGAAAUAGCUAGUUGCAUUCCUCCCCUCAAACAAUUCAACCGUAAUACUCGCGCUUCAAGGAAUGCUCAUCAGUUUACCCUAGAGUCCAAUUUCGGACGUACCGUUAAAUACAGAGAUUCUUUCUUCAGCCGCACUACACGAAUGUGGAACGCAUUACCCGCCUGUGUUUUUCCAUCGCAUUUCAAAACUCAGAACUUCAAAACUAAUGUUCAUCGGCAUCUCCUUUCAAACCCCUCCCUUUUUUCCUAAUGCUCGUACUGUGUUCAGCAUAUUAAGGGUAGACUAAUCCCUUUAGUGCGCGCUUAUUAUAAAAAAAAAAGGUUGAUACGUCAUAUGAAAGGUGAAACAAUAGGUGUGUUUUUUAUUACCACCGGUCUUAACUGGACAAAAAAAAACGCCUCGGGGCUUAACCUAAAAACUUGGCAGCACUGCGUAUUAAAUGUUCCGAAAUCAGCUGACUAGACAAAUAUACAGUUGUAAAGAAAUUGUCAAACGUCAAACAAAAAAGAAUUACAGCAGAAACAAACUAAAAAAUAACAAAAGAACAAAUUCCGAAGAUUCAACAAUUAAUCAGCAAAUAGGUAUUUUAUUUCCACUCGAAACAAAAUUAUGUUAAAAUGUUCAUGAGCUUCGAAACAAACAACGUGAAACCUACAGCCGCCCUCAAAAGCGAACAACAUCAAAAGUCUAAACAACAAAAAGCUACAUAGAGGCCGAUCCGGCUUUGCAGUUAGACGAAUUGAUUUUCGAAAAGCUUGCACUUACAGACAAUCUCUUGAAAAAGCAAUAGAUUUCUCUACAACUCGUGUGCGGAAAGCAAAAUCGUUCAAAGUCCUUCAGAAAUCCAAUGGAGUUAGAACAAUUUUGAUUUCCGCAGACGAACUGUUAUCAAAAGAUCGCAUUACAACUCACUUCCUUGCAUUCGAGAUUUACGCUAGGAUGAAUAAAAUUCUUCUAAUCAGCGCCAAACAUCCACAACAUCAUUGAAGCAAAUCGUGAUUCAAUUUCGUGGAGAGCGCAGAGUUCCAUUUCACUUACCUUUCUGUACUCCAAUUGGAACGACAAGUAAAGUACUACAAGGCAACCAAAGAUUGGCGAUCAGUAAAUUGGACAACGUAGGAUCUUUCUUCAUUUACUAUUCUUAUUGGAAAGUAAGGUGUUUGUUCGAUCGGCCGAUCCAAUGUUCCAACUAUGUGGCCAAAGCCAAAAGCCGUUUAAACACAAAACGAUCAGACAAGCUUUCUAAAUCAAAUCAAAUAUUUUUGAAAUUUCUAAUUAAAUGAUAAUUUCACUUUUUAUAAAUACAAAAUAACAUGUCAAUGCUACAA